CCAUCCCAUCCCAUCCCAUCCCAUCCCAUCCCAUCCCAUCCCAUCCCAUCCCAUCCCAUCCCAUCCCAUCCCAUCCCAUCCCAUCCCAUCCCAUCCUUUUUAUUGGGUUUGAUUUCCCCGGAGCGUUUUCCAGCUGCUUUCCCCACCGCGGGCUGUCCCAGCUGCAUCUCCUGGAAUUUUUCUCUCUCUCUCAGACUUUGUGAAGUUUUUGGGUCUUUUUUUUUUCGCCUCCCCACAUUUCAUGGUACAAAAGCAGCUUCUGGAAUUCCCACUGUCCUCCCACAUCCCGAAAAUCCUGGGGUGGGAUGAGGCACCGGCGUUCCCUGCUCCAGAGAAACGGAGUUGGGCAAGAGCACAAACUUGGGAGGGAAGGGAAGCACUUCUUGGGAGGGAGGAAUUUCCUCCUUUGCUGCUUUUCCUGCUUCCCAUCCUUGGCUUUGUACUUGACCCGGAGCUGCAGAAUCCAGGCACGUCCUGAGCUGGUGGUGGAGAUCCUGAGCUGGGGGGAUCAGGGGUUGGGAGAUGUGGAAUUUUGGGGAUGCAGGCUCUGGGAGAUGUGGAAUUUUGGGGAUGCGGGCUCUGGGAGAUGUGGAAUUUUGGGGAUGCAGGCUCUGGGAGAUGUGGAAUUUUGGGGAUGCGGGCUCUGGGAGCGGUGUGUCGGAGCAGGGACAGGUCUCUGUCCCCACUCUGGGACCUGGGAACAUGAGCAGCAGAACUCCUGGAGCAGUUUUCCCGUAGGAAUUCCCACUGUGCCACAUCCCCGUGCCUGCUCCCGUUUGUCUUCCCAAAUCUCCCAUCAAUUCCCUUUCCCUCCCGGGAGCAGCCAUGUGGCUUCCGGGGCCGUUUUGAAGAUUUUCCAGGGAUUCCUUUAAAUCCUGCUCCGGAGAAAAGCUCCACGAGCCCCCCCAGCCUGGCUCACCUGCCUCCCAGUCCCUGCCCGCCGUUCCUCGCCGUCCCUGCAGCAGCCGCCUGGUUUUUGUUCAGCCCUGGAGGUUUUUUUUUUCCCCGUUCCUGGAUCCCGC
rnacentral:lncRNA from 12 species